GAUGAACGCUAGCUACAGGCUUAACACAUGCAAGUCGAGGGGAAACGACAUCGAAAGCUUGCUUUUGAUGGGCGUCGACCGGCGCACGGGUGAGUAACGCGUAUCCAACCUGCCCACCACUUGGGGAUAACCUUGCGAAAGUAAGACUAAUACCCAAUGGCGUCUCUAGAAGACAUCUGAAAGAGAUUAAAGAUUUAUCGGUGAUGGAUGGGGAUGCGUCUGAUUAGCUUGUUGGCGGGGUAACGGCCCACCAAGGCGACGAUCAGUAGGGGUUCUGAGAGGAAGGUCCCCCACAUUGGAACUGAGACACGGUCCAAACUCCUACGGGAGGCAGCAAUGAGGAAUAUUGGUCAAUGGGCGAGAGCCUGAACCAGCCAAGUAGCGUGCAGGAUGACGGCCCUAUGGGUUGUAAACUGCUUUUAUAAGGGAAUAAAGUGAGUCUCGUGAGACUUUUUGCAUGUACCUUAUGAAUAAGGACCGGCUAAUUCCGUGCCAGCCGCCGCAGUAA
rnacentral:rRNA from 1 species